AUACGUAGGUGACAAGCGUUAUCCGGAUUUACUGGGCGUAAAGGGCGUGUAGGCGGUCUUGCAAGUCAGAAGUGAAAUUCCUGAGCUCAACUCGGGCGCUGCUUCUGAAACUGCAGGACUUGAGUGCUGGAGGGGAUAGCGGAAUUCCUAGUGGAGCGGUAAAAUGCGCAGAUAUUAGGAAGAACACCGGUGGCGAAGGCGGCUAUCUGGACAGUAACUGACGCUGAGGCGCGAAAGCGUGGGGAGCAAACAGGAUUAGAUACCCUGGUAGUCCACGCUGUAAACGAUGGGUACUAGGUGUAGGAGGUAUCGACCCCUUCUGUGCCGGAGUUAACGCAAUAAGUACCCCGCCUGGGGACUACGGUCGCAAGACUAAAACUUAAAGGAAUUGACGGGG
rnacentral:rRNA from 1 species